UACGGAGGGUGCAAGCGUUGUCCGGAUUUAUUGGGUUUAAAGGGUGCGUAGGCGGUUAGGUAAGUCGGCGAUGAAAGCCCGGGGCUCAACCCCGGAACUGUCGUCGAUACUGUCUGACUUGAGUAUGGUGGAGGCUGGCGGAAUGGGCGGUGUAGCGGUGAAAUGCAUAGAUACCGUCCAGAACCCCGAUUGCGAAGGCAGCUGGCUGUACCAUAACUGACGCUGAGGCACGAAAGCGUGGGGAGCGAACAGG
rnacentral:rRNA from 1 species